rnacentral:rRNA from 1 species
UACGUAGGGUGCAAGCGUUUGUCCGGAAUUACUGGGCGUAAAGGGCUCGUAGGCGGCCAACUAAGUCAGACGUGAAAUCCCUCGGCUUAACCGGGGAACUGCAUCUGAUACUGGAUGGCUUGAGAUUGGGGAGAGGGAUGCGGAAUUCCAGGUGUAGCGGUGAAAUGCGCAGAUAUCGGGAGGAACACCAGUAGCGAAGGCGGCUCGCUGGGCCACACCUGACGCUGAGACGCGAAAGCGUGGGGAGCGAACAGG